CCUACGGGAGGCAGCAGUGGGGAAUUUUGGACAAUGGGCGCAAGCCUGAUCCAGCCAUGCCGCGUGCGGGAAGAAGGCCUUCGGGUUGUAAACCGCUUUUGUCAGGGAAGAAAAGGUUCUGGCUAAUACCUGGGACUCAUGACGGUACCUGAAGAAUAAGCACCGGCUAACUACGUGCCAGCAGCCGCGGUAAUACGUAGGGUGCAAGCGUUAAUCGGAAUUACUGGGCGUAAAGCGUGCGCAGGCGGUUAUGCAAGACAGAGGUGAAAUCCCCGGGCUCAACCUGGGAACUGCCUUUGUGACUGCAUAGCUAGAGUACGGUAGAGGGGGAUGGAAUUCCGCGUGUAGCAGUGAAAUGCGUAGAUAUGCGGAGGAACACCGAUGGCGAAGGCAAUCCCCUGGACCUGUACUGACGCUCAUGCACGAAAGCGUGGGGAGCAAACGAGGAGUAGUAGUACCUACGGUAGGUACCGUACCGACCCGUAACCCGUAAACGUAGUCGUAACCUACGGUUGGUUUGGGUAGGGGGUUUACGGUUUCUUCCUAGUAACGUUAACGGUCGUAACCGUACCGUGUAAGGUUAGUACCGGCCCGUCGGGGUAGGGUAACGGCCGGCCGACGGUUAGGUAACGUACCGAAGAAAGUAGUAGGCGGUGAGAGAGACGACGACGACGACGACGGAGGAGG
rnacentral:rRNA from 1 species